rnacentral:lncRNA from 1 species
AAUUAUCAUCAUCUUUAUUGAAUCAAAACAGUAAAAAUCAAAUUUAGUGUUUUAUCAAUCGAUUGAAUUUUUUGAGGUUUUUUCUAAUGUUUUGAUUCAAUAAAGAUGAUAAUAGUUUUUUUUUAAAAAUGAAACUGUACUUAAAAUUGCUCUAAAGCACGAGAAAAAUCACCUUCUCCUUUUUAACAUUCCAAUAUUUGCUCAUCAAAACUUAG